rnacentral:rRNA from 1 species
CGUAGGGUGAGUCGGCCCCUAAGGCGAGGCUGAAAAGCGUAGUCGAUGGGAAACAGGUCAAUAUUCCUGUACCGAUUCUAGAUGCGAUGUGGGGACGGAGAAGGUUAGGUCAGCCAUCUGUUGGAAUAGGUGGUUUAAGCGUGUAGGAGUGUCCCGUAGGCAAAUCCGCGGGAAUUAUCUGAGGCGUGACGACGAGGCACUACGGUGCUGAAGUGAUUGAUACCAAGCUUCCAGGAAAAGCCACUAAGCUUCAGUCUAGAAUUGACCGUACCGCAAACCGACACAGGUGGGCAGGAUGAAAAUUCUAAGGCGCUUGAGAGAACUCAGGAGAAGGAACUCGGCAAAUUAGCACCGUAACUUCGGGAGAAGGUGUGCCCCGGUAGGUUGUAGAGCCUCGCGCUCGAAGGCCUAUGGGGUUGCAGUGAAAUGGUGGCUGCGACUGUUUAAUAAAAACACAGCACUCUGCAAACACGAAAGUGGACGUAUAGGGUGUGACGCCUGUCCGGUGCCGGAAGGUUAAUUGAUGGGGUGCAAGCUCUUGAUCGAAGCCCCGGUAAACGGCGGCCGUAACAAUAACGGUCCUAAGGUAGCGAAAUUCCUUGUCGGGUAAGUUCCGACCUGCACGAAUGGCGUAACGAUGGCCACACUGUCUCCUCCUGAGACUCAGCGAAGUUGAAAUGUUUGUGAAGAUGCAAUCUCCCCGCGGCAAGACGGAAAGACCCCAUGAACCUUUACUGUAGCUUUGCAUUGGACUUUGAACCGGUCUGUGUAGGAUAGGUGGGAGACUGUGAAGCCGGAACGCUAGUUUCGGUGGAGUCAACCUUGAAAUACCACCCUGGUUUGUUUGAGGUUCUAACCUUGGUCCGUGAAUCCGGACCGGGGACCGUGCAUGGUAGGCAGUUUGACUGGGGCGGUCUCCUCCCAAAAGGUAACGGAGGAGUACGAAGGUACGCUUAGGGCGGUCGGACAUCGCCCACAAAGUGCAAUCGCAAAAGCGUGCUUGACUGCGAGACCCACAAGUCGAGCAGGUACGAAAGUAGGUCAUAGUGAUCCGGUGGUUCUGUAUGGAAGGGCCAUCGCUCAACGGAUAAAAGGUACUCUGGGGAUAACAGGCUGAUACCGCCCAAGAGUUCAUAUCGACGGCGGUGUUUGGCACCUCGAUGUCGGCUCAUCUCAUCCUGGGGCUGUAGCCGGUCCCAAGGGUAUGGCUGUUCGCCAUUUAAAGAGGUACGUGAGCUGGGUUUAAAACGUCGUGAGACAGUUUGGUCCCUAUCUGCCGUGGGCGCUGGAAAUUUGAAGGGGGCUGCUCCUAGUACGAGAGGACCGGAGUGGACGAACCUCUGGUGUACCGGUUAUGACGCCAGUCGUAUCGCCGGGUAGCU